rnacentral:rRNA from 1 species
AGUCGAGCGGCAGCGACUUAACUGAACCUUCGGGGAACGUUAAGGGCGGCGAGCGGCGGACGGGUGAGUAAUGCCUGGGAAUAUGCCCUGAUGUGGGGGAAACUAUUGGAAACGAUAGCUAAUACCGCAUAAUCUCCGAUCUUUUACGAGAUGGGAGCAAAGAGGGGGACCUUCGGGCCUCUCGCGUCAGGAUUAGCCCAGGUGGGAUUAGCUUGUUUGUGAGGUAAUGGCUCACCAAGGCAACGAUCCCUAGCUGGUCUGAGAGGAUGAUCAGCCACACUGGAACUGAGACACGGUCCAGACUCCUACGGGAGGCAGCAGUGGGGAAUAUUGCACAAUGGGGGAAACCCUGAUGCAGCCAUGCCGCGUGUGUGAAGAAGGCCUUCGGGUUGUAAAGCACUUUCAGUAGGGAGGAAGGUAGUGUAGUUAACACCUGCAUUAUUUGACGUUACCUACAGAAAAGCACCGGCUAACUCCGUGCCAGCAGCCGCGGUA